AUUAUUUUGAUAAACUUAGGAGUGCAAGUGGGUUUUUAUCAUAUAAUGGCCUUGCUUUCGAGUGUACAUGAUAUUGAAAGAACAUAAAGAUUUGAUAUCAUAGAUAGCCAUAUACGCGAUUCAAAUAGUUUUUGACACAAGCGAUACAUUGCAGUUAUGUUAGUACUACAUGGUAAGAUAGGAUGAAAUGUUUGGAUUUGUUGGCAAUUGAUACAUUGUUCUUCCACAAGGAGAGAUUGUGUCCAUCUCUAUCACUCGAUUGGUAGGUCUCAUGGUCUUUGAUGGUUAAAUGGAGCCUCUUGACAACUUCUGCAAGCAUGUUUUCUCCUGUUUAUUUCACCAUGGAUUGGUGACAGCUGAAACACAUAGAAGCAGUAUAGAUUAAUGUCCUGGAAUUUAUCAAGUGAAAUAUAUGACUACACUUUUGAAGAUUCUCUAUGGGCAAUGUAGAAGAUCUAAGUCAGGCUGCUAAACCAACUACAAAAAUAAUAAUAUUUAGGCAAUAUUUCAAGUGAAUGGGUAAGGAAUUAAUAAGAUGGAGAGCUGCACUAUCAUCAUUAACAGAAGGAAAAAGCAUAGACAAUGAAGAAUAUUUGUCUCAGUUCAGAACAUACAUGAACAUGACUAUAGACACACAAGAUUUAUUUUCCACAAUAUGCACAAUUUAAUUUAAAGAAAUCCAUGUUGCUUUAUAGUAGGAAGAACACACCUGCAUUGACAAAAAUACAAAAAUGUAAGAUCCGAGUAAAUAUACAGAUAGGCGACACAAUAAAAUGUAAGGCAUGUCAACAUAGAGCACUGUGUCCAGGAGCAGUUCUUAGGAAUAGCAGUCAAAUACAUCAUAUAGUAAUGGGAUCCAACACAAUCAACCCAUGGUACCUUUUCUACAGAAAAAGCAUAAAAAAAUAUGAUAUAAAUGUUUCUUCUGAUCUUCUCUACCUAAUAUUAUCUGUCUGAUCUUCGUGACUAUGAUCAGUCUGAUAAAAUAUGCAAGCCAUAUGAUUACUACGAAAAGGAUGGACACAAAUUUGUGAGCUUCCUUGUGCACAAAUCAGAAUUCAUGUGUGUGGUUAUCAUUGGUAUACAUAGUGCUGACUGGUCUCUUAUACAGCAAGGUAGACGCAGAAGGCAGAGUAGCCUGUGAAAAUCAAAGUUACUGGGUUGCAGCUUUUUAAAUAACCAUGCUUUGCAACAACAGAAAAAAUCACUUUAAAUCUAUGAGAGAAAAUAAUGUAUUACCGACAGUAUGGAGGGGAGGAUGAAGGAGCAGCUCCCUCACUACCUCCUCUGGCCGCCUCUUCAAUUUCAUAGCCAUUCUCACAACCACUUUGAAAUAUGAAAAGGUUGAAGUACAUAAUAAUAUAGGAAAAAUAUUUUGCAGCCAUUAUCCCGAGGUGCACUCUUUUGACAAUGAUAAAUAUUAACCAUAUAUUGGAUAAUGAAAAGUACAACACAUAAGCAUACACUCCUUAUCACCAACAAUAUUUAUCAUUAGCCCCCAAAAAAGUCUCAAAUCUCAUGUGCGUGACUUAGAGCCAUGAUACAUACCUACGGACAAGUGAAUAAUUAAUAGGCUAUGCCUACGAAGAACAAACAAUAAUAAAACAACAUCUGACAUGGUAGAUUGGUAAAGAAUAGAAACAAUUACCCCUGUGAAAUAUUUUUGUAGCACUUAAUGCUUCAUGACACGGCAGGAGUAUCUAUCAUUGGUGUCACAUGCCUCAGAGCCAUCCACAACUUGAUGGAACAUUCACAAUGUACCAACAUGAUGAGAGCCUGUAUUACAUACAUCUAGCAUUAUUCACCAGUUGCGAAAAUGGAUACCAAAGAACAGCCAACUUAUCAAAUUUGUUGAAAAGUAAUCCAGAAAUUGAUGCCUAAUGAUCAGACUCAGGCCUCAGUACAAACAACGCCGUAUCGUUUUCUACCUCCAAAAGUAGUAUAUAUGUUUCAGUGGAAACCACAGAAGCUCCAGCAGCAAUAAAUAAAAUAAGGGGAACCAAAUAAAGAGGCAUUCCUCUGACGAGUUAACAUACCUCAACACACAUUCCCCGGAUCUCUCCUCUCGGAUAGAGACCAGCCGAAUUUGUCCCAUCGGAUGCCACCAGUAUCUGAUCAAGACCAGCAGUGACAGAAAAGAACCAAUUAUAACAAUGACAAAUCAUUGAGCUAGCAGACAAAAAUGAAGGAGCCAGUAAAAUGAACAAUCAAAAUGUACAGAGAGCUAAGAUGCUAUAGGAUGGAGGCGACUACGAUACUAUGCCCAAAUUUUGUUAUUUAUAUUGGCCUAAUUAUUUGACGCGGAUCUUUGAUGUAGCUCUGCAUUCAAACUGCUAGUCUGCGGCAACAGAAACUGAAACUAAAAAGAUCAGAAAUAAGGGGACAAAUAUUGUACAAACCAGCGAAUAGCUUCUUGAACCAAGCUUUAUAUUGACAGCAUUAAUCUUGACGCGUGCGCUCGUGGUUGGACUCACGGAGCUGGCCGUUCGUGGCUGGAUGGUUCACGCGAAGACUUGGCCAGGUCAUUCGUGCCGUGCCGCCGUAAGUGGAGCAGCUGGGUCAGCCAAGCCGUUGGCGUGCAUGUAGUGCGGACGUGCGUGGGCGUGCAUGUAGUUAGUGGUUAGCUAAUGCGUGUGGGCAUGGCUUAGUGGCCGGUGCAUGAGCUGUGUAUGUGCGCGUCUACUACUUAAGGUGCUGGCAGGUGGUAGAGCUAAAGUAGCUAGAGAGAGAUGAUGUAGCCUCUGGGAGUGUAUGUGCGCUCACGGUGGGGUGGUGUGCGUGUGGCAGAGUUCGAGCUCGCCGGAAAUAAAAGGGGUUGUUCGUGCGGCCGGAAGCGUUUGUGUGCCGGGAAACCUCGUGUCCUCUCUCUCUCUUGUUUCUUCCUUGUCUCCGGUGAUCGCAGUGGUUCAGUGGUAGGCUAGACAACAACAUAUAUAUCAUCUUGCAUAAAUGGCAAAGUCUGUACUAAUUGAUGCUCUUACCACAAGAAUAGAACUACUCAACUAAAAAGACAGGUGUACGUAUAGAAAAGGAGAGAGGGGAAGGGGCAGACGAGGGAGUGGAACCUUGAGGUGCAAGGGCACGAAUCUAGUUGACAUCAGGGCUUGACUAUUCUACUAUUACUACUGGUGGCCAAGGAGCAAUCCAGCAAUGGGAGUUAGAACAGCACCGCACCCGACAUUAGUGGCACGUGGUCAAUUUCACAAGUGCUUGGACAUCCCCAAUUCAAUGUGCAGACCAAGUGGAAUGAGAACCGAAAAGGAUACAAAGGAGCAAUAUUUCCUGAAAGAAUGGCUGGACCAACUAUUUGUUGGCUGCAAGCGGUCGUGUGAUGUUACAGCCUAUAGCUCCAACGACUCAAGACCAAACUCAUUAGGUAGUCGUUCAGAUUUUUUUUCAAGAAGGCCAUGAAGAAACACUAAAGGAAGAAAAGCUAUCAGCCAACAUACUGGAAAAGCACACAUUUUUCCCUAUAAGAAGAAACUCAAAGUCCUGGCCCAACCAGCCAGAGAAGAUAAAGGACAAGCAGGAAAACAAAUAACCUGGCAACUCAUAUUUCCACAAAGCCAAAAUGAGUGUUAGGUAGUUAUCCUGACAAAAGCUCAGUCUCAAAGGCAUUUUCCUAAGUAUGUCUUUAACAAAUACUCCAACAAAUGUAGAAUUGAAUGAACGGCUUUUGGAACAACAAGAAAUAAACUUAGCAGCCUGCUGUUAAGGUUGGUUAUUCAUAAAUAAACUGAAAUUUUUUUGGCGGUAAUAUUCAGAAGGUAGAAUAAAAAGGCAAUGCAGAGUAUUUGGAAUGAAGAAAACAUAUAUUGUUGUACCAAAUGGCGCAAGUUACAAAUUUAAAUGGCGAGUUAUUUGCACCCAAAAUUCAUAAAUUCUAUCAUUCUAAAAGUACAAAAGAUUAUGUGAGCUCUAAAGGGUACAAUACAUUUCCGAGUAGUUUGAUCGAUCAUCUUGCAAAAUUAGCUCACGGAAAAAGGAUGACAAAAAUGGAAAUACAGUUGAUCUUGUGCAACGGUGGUAACAAAAAUGAGUAACUUUCAAGGAAACAAACAAUUUGUAAGUAACAUAUAUAAUCUGACAUCUAAUUCUACCGAGAUAUUUGCAUAAAUAUGUGAUGGAUAACCUGAGUUUCUCGAUAGUAAUCUCCUAGGAACUUCAAUCUCUGACGGGAAGCAAACUACAUCAAUCCCUGUCAGGAACCAAGCAACCUCACUGCAUAUUUUUGUAGAGAUGAAGGCUUGUAACCAGCAGGAGCAGUGCAUAAUUUGCAACCACGCUCACGACCUGCAUAACUAAUAGAUGGUCACUCUGCAAAUGACAGAUAAGAAAUUUAUAAUGAAAAGAACUGAUGCAUCCCAAAUGGUUGAUAUGUAUGCUGACAUAUAAGCAACUACUACCUUGCUAUUGCACUAACUACCACUGAAGCACGCCGACCAUUGGCAAAUAGCAUGUCUAUCAAGAGAUUUGCAAUGACAACUUCUUUUGCUAAAUUUAAUCAAGUCAUCUGUGCAUCAUCAUUAGUGAUCUACGUCACACACAUCUUCUAGUAGCCUACAACUGAUACAUGCACCUGUAAACAUGCUGCUGUUUUUACCUGGUAAAAUAGAUAGCGUUACAAUUUAUUUAUUUUUGCCAUGUGCAAACUGUAUCAUCAACUUGUAUGAAAAAAGCAAUAUUUCAUCACGAUCACCAUCAGGCAAGUGGGUCCUUCACAAAAUAAGCAUUGUAAAGACAGUAAGAACAACAUACAUAUGCUGACGCAUGCAAAGGAAAUAGACCACACACAUGUUUGGAUGAAUAUAUAAUCAAUCACAGACCUUUCAAUUUAGAAACACAAUGACAAGCUAGCUCAAGAUGAAUCGAUUUACAUAUUUUCAACCCCAGAAAGAGGGCAU
rnacentral:lncRNA from 1 species